GAUGAACGCUGGCGGCGUGCCUAAUACAUGCAAGUCGAGCGAACAGACGAGGAGCUUGCUUCUCUGACGUUAGCGGCGGACGGGUGAGUAACACGUGGAUAACCUACCUAUAAGACUGGGAUAACUUCGGGAAACCGGAGCUAAUACCGGAUAAUAUAUUGAACCGCAUGGUUCAAUAGUGAAAGACGGUCUUGCUGUCACUUAUAGAUGGAUCCGCGCUGCAUUAGCUAGUUGGUAAGGUAACGGCUUACCAAGGCAACGAUGCAUAGCCGACCUGAGAGGGUGAUCGGCCACACUGGAACUGAGACACGGUCCAGACUCCUACGGGAGGCAGCAGUAGGGAAUCUUCCGCAAUGGGCGAAAGCCUGACGGAGCAACGCCGCGUGAGUGAUGAAGGUCUUCGGAUCGUAAAACUCUGUUAUUAGGGAAGAACAAAUGUGUAAGUAACUGUGCACGUCUUGACGGUACCUAAUCAGAAAGCCACGGCUAACUACGUG
rnacentral:rRNA from 1 species